UGGUUCCUACGGGAGGCAGCAGUGGGGAAUCUUGGACAAUGGGGGCAACCCUGAUCCAGCCAUGCCGCGUGUGUGAAGAAGGCCCUAGGGUUGUAAAGCACUUUCAGCAGGGAGGAAGGCUUCGGGCUAAUAUCCUGGAGUACUUGACGUUACCUGCAGAAGAAGCACCGGCUAAUUUCGUGCCAGCAGCCGCGGUAAUACGAAAGGUGCGAGCGUUAAUCGGAAUUACUGGGCGUAAAGCGCGCGUAGGCGGCUAUUUAAGUCGGAUGUGAAAUCCCCGGGCUCAACCUGGGAACUGCAUCCGAUACUGGAUGGCUAGAGUGCAGUAGAGGGGGGUGGAAUUCCAGGUGUAGCGGUGAAAUGCGUAGAGAUCUGGAGGAACACCAGUGGCGAAGGCGGCCCCCUGGACUGACACUGACGCUGAGGUGCGAAAGCGUGGGGAUCAAACAGGAUUAGAUACCCUAUAGUCCACCCCCGUGGACGACCCCGGAGGGCCGCUGGGGAGAACCCCCCUCCUAUGGGGCACCUCGGAAACAUAAAAAAAAACUCUAUUUUAUUUCCAUC
rnacentral:rRNA from 1 species